UACGGAGGGUGCAAGCGUUAUCCGGAUUCACUGGGUUUAAAGGGUGUGUAGGCGGGCUGUUAAGUCAGUGGUGAAAUCUCCGGGCUCAACCCGGAAACUGCCAUUGAUACUAUCAGUCUUGAAUACCGUUGAGGUAGGCGGAAUAUAUCAUGUAGCGGUGGAAUGCAUAGAUAUGAUAUAGAACACCGAUUGCGAAGGCAGCUUACUAAACGGUCACUGACGCUGAGGCACGAAAGCGUGGGGAUCAGACAGG
rnacentral:rRNA from 1 species